rnacentral:rRNA from 1 species
UACGGAGGGUGCAAGCGUUGUCCGGAAUCAUUGGGCGUAAAGAGUUCGUAGGCGGCAUGUAAAGUCAGGUGUUAAAGGCGCAGGCUUAACCUGUGUAUGGCACUUGAUACUUGCAAGCUAGAAUGCGGUAGAGGUAAAGGGAAUUCCUGGUGUAGCGGUGAAAUGCUUAGAUAUCAGGAGGAACAUCGGUGGCGUAAGCGCUUUACUGGGCCGUAAUUGACGCUGAGGAACGAAAGCCAGGGUAGCAAAUGGG